UGCGUGAAAUAGAUAACAUUUUUCUGCCUGACAAAUUCAGUUCGUAUGACUUCUGCAGAAUAUAGCAGCCUCGUAGCUUCCAAAAUAAAAAUCAUGCUGUAGUGACUGUUUAUAGGGCUGUACGUGUCAAGCGGCACGUAGUAAGAAUGCGGUAAAUGGGGUUCACGGGGGUGUGUACGCCAUGUAUUGCCAACUGUGGCAAUCCGACUGCUCGUUUUUCUCGUUCUUCUGUGAAUGUACACAUUGUGCCCUUAGAAGCGUACUACUACAGCCCGCAGUGCCUCAGUUUCAAACCCCUCACGAGAUGCCGAUGACUACAGUAUAAGAUAAGGCAGCAGAGCGAAAUGACGACAUGUUCAAACACCUACAUUUUACAAGUGACAAGGACCUUAGGCUUGACUGAGGUAAAUGUUUCUGCGGCUCGGCAGAUGACAAUGUGAAAGUUCGUUUCACUGGCCUCGGAGCUAUAAAACAGCAUGAAAUCAGGUGAUAUCUGGUGGAAAAGCAGAUUUUCAGUUGGAGAAUAAAAAAAGGAGCACUUCUCACAGUCUAGAUGAACACAAGGUGUGGAGCAGCCAUGCUGAAUGUACAGUGCCCACUGUUCUCAAGUGCCCAUAUUGGUGGCUGAAUUGGCACUUUGCCAAAGUCCACGUGUUCUGGUUCACUGGUCAGUGGGGGUCUGCUCCCUGUAUCCUUGCCACCGCAAACCAGUUUUGCCAAUUCCUCAGGAGAAAUGGGGAUAGAAGGAGCGGCCGAAUCAUGAUCGAGCCAAAAGCAAUGCUCUUUCAGAGCCCCGAACAGCCGAGUAGCAGACAUUUCUCUGAACCAAUCAGCGAGCACGGACCCUGUAGCGUCAGCGCGAGGUCGCAGGCAGAUCACAAGGUUGGUACUGCUCUCCACCACCGUUGCAUCCGGUCGUCUUUGCGGUAUACAGUCAAACUCCUUUACAACGAAACUCAGGGGACAGCAAAAAAAAUUCGCAGUAAAGGUAUUUUCGUUAAAAAGGAUGUCUAUUAUUGGACCUAUAGGCUCCAGCGGGACCGCAAAAAAAAUUUGCUGUACUGGUAUUUUCGUUAAAAAGGUGUUCGCUAUAAAGGAGUUUGACUGUACUUUGAAUUCAAUUUCUGCGGUAAUUACGUCCAUCACUAUUUUCUUGACCAGUUUUCAGAAUAUAGUUGCUUGCAAUACAGGAAGCUUACUGUAACAGGACAAGUCUACCAAAUUCCAGGCACCAUAUUAAAUUAUCGGAACUGUUGUAUGUGAUGAUAACACCAACUACCACGUCUUGGACACUUUGGUGCAAUAUUUUCCUGAUGGCCAAAACAGUUCAGUUUACUUUCUGACUGCUCAAACUACAGGUUACAAGUACCAGCUGAAAGACCACUAUAGAUGGACACAUCCAUGGACUCAGCAGCAAAAUUUAACAUGAGUACCACACUCACACAUUCAUGAGUAAACACAAGACCAUGUAAAGACAUGUCCUCAUACUCUCAGUUACACCACGGCAGCACUUGGCGGCAAAUGGAAUACACUUCCAUCAGAAACGUCUGACAGGUUUAGUUCAUGAAGCUUGUGUGUUAACUUGGCACAGGAGUUUGGAAUGGAAGACAAGUCAGUUGCGCUUUUGCUGCUAUGAUGCAGUGGCCGUAGGCUUGUCUUGUUCGAGCAGCGAGUAUCGCUUUGUCUGUCUGGGCGCUCACACCGUGUCCGCUUCAUACCGCUUGCAUGUAGCUUAUCCUGAGCAGUCUUCGAGAGUGGAAACUGAAACACACCACCAGCUUGUGCUUGGGCCCUGUAUGGCUUACCAUUGGUCAAGUGGUUUGUUGUAGUGCUGCAGCUGAAAUUCACUUUGCUCAAGAGGAAUUUAUGGUAGUUCUUUAGAGCUUCAUGUACUUCUGCAUCUCUUGUACUCUGCACCUUCUCUGCAUACGCACAGACAUCUCCUAAUAGUGAAAGUGGAAAUGGUUUGUCAGAAGUUUAGAUAUAAUGUAGUGUAUAUAUAUGUACAUGGCUUAGGCAGCCCUUAUUGUUAAACCAAAAACUAAGUCCUGUGCAUCUGAUGUUUUAUAGUGUUUCAGGAACUAUGAUGUAUAAGUAAAAAAUGAAAAAAGGUAAUGACUAAGGAGAAUAUAGGCACACAAAAUUGCAAAGCUGAAAUUGGUUUCAGUGAAGAGUUAUCUUGUUUCUGGGGGAGCUUCAAAACUCUCACGUACCUGACAUGUGAGGCUAAAAUAAUUACCCUAUGUUAGACAAACCAAUGCAACACAUUCAUGUGUAUUGAUGUGUGCACUUGCUCCAUGGUAGUUUUUUGCAUGCUGAAUUAGUUUUUAAGAAUAUGUGCAUAAUGCAUGUUUCAUAGCCUGUGUUUGGGAGUCUAAUAAAAUUGAGGUUUACUUAAAAGUUGGU